rnacentral:lncRNA from 1 species
CCCACCUUCUCCUUUCUCCUACCCCCGUUCUCCUUUCUCCCAUUAGAAUAAAACAUCUCCUUUUGAGAUAUUUUUUCUUAAAAUAUUAGAUCAUUUUUUAAAAGGAGAGAUAUUUUAUUUUUUCUCCUUUCUCCAACUUUUUCUCCUUUCUCCCAGCCUUCCUCUCCUUUCUCCCACCCCCUUUCUCCUUUCUCCUACCCCCCUUCUCCCUGUCUCCCUUACCCCUGUCCUCCCCCUCCUAUACAGUUUUGAUCCCGUAUUUACAUUUUGAUUAAAAUUUCCAUGUAGACUAAUUUCAUGGAAACUUUCAACAUAAUACACUAAGAACCAC